AUUGAACGCUGGCGGCAGGCUUAACACAUGCAAGUCGAGCGGGGUGAUGGUGCUUGCACUAUCGCUUAGCGGCGGACGGGUGAGUAAUGCUUAGGAAUCUGCCUAUUAGUGGGGGACAACAUCUCGAAAGGGAUGCUAAUACCGCAUACGUCCUACGGGAGAAAGCAGGGGAUCACUUGUGACCUUGCGCUAAUAGAUGAGCCUAGGCCGGAUUAGCUAGUUGGUGGGGUAAAGGCCAACCAAGGCGACGAUCUGUAGCGGGUCUGAGAGGAUGAUCCGCCACACUGGGACUGAGACACGGCCCAGACUCCUACGGGAGGCAGCAGUGGGGAAUAUUGGACAAUGGGGGGAACCCUGAUCCAGCCAUGCCGCGUGUGUGAAGAAGGCCUUAUGGUUGUAAAGCACUUUAAGCGAGGAGGAGGCUCUUUUGGUUAAUACCCAAGAUGAGUGGACGUUACUCGCAGAAUAAGCACCGGCUAACUCUGUGCCAGCAGCCGCCGUAA
rnacentral:rRNA from 1 species